GUAUUUAGUGGUGGUAGCUACAGGUAUUAACGAGUUUAAAUAUUAUAAAGUUAAUACCUGAGGAAAGUCCCGGCUUAAUAUAAAAAAGGUGCUGGGGAAACCCCAGAUAACCUAUAAUAGGUUAAUGGAAAGUGCCACAGAAACUAGACUACCCUUAAAAAACUUAAGGGUACAGGUGAAACCGUGAGGUAAAAGCUCACGAUCUCUUAUAGCGAUAUAAGAGAUGGCAAACCCCACCUUAAGCAAUAAUAAUUUAGCAAAAAGUGCUAAGUAAUUAGCACUUAAGACAAAUUGCUACCAAAAAAAACAGAACCGGGCUUACCACUAAAUACACCU
rnacentral:RNase_P_RNA from 2 species